CCCUACCCCCUAGACUUCCUCCCUCGGAUCUAGUGCCACCCCUUCCCCUCGAAUCACGUCGCCAGCCACGGCCAACCGCCUCCCCCUCAAAUUCUGGCGCAACCACCUCAUCCCCGCCACUUGUCGCCUCCUGUUUGGCCGAGCCAUCUCCUGAGCGCCCCGCAGCCAACCAGGGCAGGCCACGUCGCCCCUGGGUCUCCCUCCAGCCGCGAGGGCCCGCCAAACCCAGAUCGGGCCCAGGCAAGCCCAUCGGGGCCCGCCCCGAGCCCGAGCAGCGCCGCCGCUCCCGCAGGAGCUUCUCCCAUUCCCGAGCAACUCGAGCCCCUGCGCUGCCCGGCUCCUCCGUGCCUCGCCGGCCGGAGCCUUCCCGCGCCGCCCGUCUCCGGCCACUGGACCUCGUCGCCGACGACUGCCUCCUCUAGGGAAUAGAACAUGGAUGUCGCCCCGCUGCCGGAGAUGACCGGUGCCGGCCCGUCGACCCUGCCGGAUCCACGCAACCGCCGCCCCGGAUCAGGUCCCUGUCGCCAUCCGUCGCCAUUCCAUGACCCGCCGGAGCCGGAGCCCCCUGUCGCGUGCCAGCGUUGACCGAAACGGGCAGCCUGCGUGGGCCGCCUCACGCGCACCUGGCCCAGCGCCAGCUCCUGCCUGGGCCUCUCCACCAACCGGCCUGCUAUGGCCCAUGUUCUGAUAACGUCACGUUUGUGAGGAUCCGUUCGACUACAUCUGUUUGUCUUCUUCAUGG